rnacentral:rRNA from 1 species
AUUGAACGCUGGCGGCAGGCCUAACACAUGCAAGUCGAACGAGUGGCGGACGGGUGAGUAAUGUCUGGGAAACUGCCUGAUGGAGGGGGAUAACUACUGGGAACCGUAGCUAAAACCGCAUACCAUCGGAUGUACCCAUAUGGGAUUAGCUAGUAGGUGGGGUAAAGGCUCGCCUAGGCGAUGAUACCUAGCUGGUCUGAGAGGAGGACCAGCAACACGGGAACUGAGACACGGUCCAGACUCCUACGGGAGGCAGCAGUGGGGAAUAUUGCACAAUGGGCGCAAGCCUGAUGCAGCCAUGCCGCGUGUAGGAAGAAGGCCUUCGGGUUGUAAAGUACUUUCAGCGGGGAGGCGUUACCCGCAGAAGAAGCACCGGCUAACUCCGUGCCAGCAGCCGCGGUAAUUC